CGGUGGUCAAGCGGGCCACCAGCCUGUGGGUUGUCCUGCUGUUGGCUCUAGAAGAAAGCCAUUUGACCUCUCUGAGGGUGACCGAGAAUAUUCGGCUUAGUGUGUUUGACUCAAUUGUCAUCUACAUGGACAAUGAGACCAACUUUGACAAAAAGCGUGUGCUUUUGCAGUGCUUUGGGAAAGUUCUGACCAGUCUAAUGCAAACAGGAAGAGAUGUGCCCACUAACUUUUUCCUGAUCAAGGAGUAUUUCCGUAUUCCUCUAUCUCAUUUGAGAUCAGUGCUCAGUGCAGCAGACAGCAUAAUUGUGAGG
rnacentral:lncRNA from 1 species